rnacentral:rRNA from 1 species
ACUUGUGCUAAUACCGGAUAAGUCUUUACGGAGAAAGCUUUAUGCACCAUUGGAUGAGCCUGCACUUGAUUAGUUUGUUGGUGGGGCAAUGGCCUACCAAGACUAUGAUCAAUAGCUGAUUUGAGAGGAUGAUCAGCCACAUUGGGACUGAGACACGGCCCAAACUCCUACGGGAGGCAGCAGUGGGGAAUAUUGCACAAUGGAGGAAACUCUGAUGCAGCGAUGCCGCGUGAGUGAAGAAGGCCCUUGGGUUGUAAAGCUCUUUCGUCGGGGAAGAAAAUGACUGUACCCGAAUAAGAAGGUCCGGCUAACUUCGUGCCAGCAGCCGCGGUAAUACGAAGGGACCUAGCGUAGUUCGGAAUUACUGGGCUUAAAGAGUUCGUAGGUGGUUGAAAAAGUUGGUGGUGAAAUCCCAGAGCUUAACUCUGGAACUGCCAUCAAAACUUUUCA